rnacentral:rRNA from 1 species
UACGUAGGGGGCUAGCGUUAUCCGGAAUUACUGGGCGUAAAGGGUGCGUAGGUGGUUUCUUAAGUCAGAGGUGAAAGGCUACGGCUCAACCGUAGUAAGCCUUUGAAACUGGGGAACUUGAGUGCAGAAGAGGAGAGUGGAACUCCAUGUGUAGCGGUGAAAUGCGUAGAUAUAUGGAAGAACACCAGUGGCGAAAGCGGCUCUCUGGUCUGUAACUGACGCUGAGGUUCGAAAGCGUGGGUAGCAAACAGG